AAUUUCUAGGUAACUAUUCCUAUAUCCUACAUUUCUUAGUAACCAUUCCUGUAUCCUACAUUUCUUAGUAACAAUUCCUAUAUCCUACAUUUCUUAGUAACCAUUCCUGUAUCCUACAUUUCUUAGUAACCAUUCCUGUAUCCUACAUUUCUUAGUAACCAUUCCUAUAUCCUACAUUUCUUAGUAACUAUUCGAUCCUGUAUCCUACAUUUCUAGGUAACCAUUUCUGUAUCCUGCAUUUCUAGGUGAACUGGUACAGUACUGUAAGGAGGAGUUGGAACUGGAAAGUGUUACAAUCGUAUCCAAUGGAAGCAAGGUAUCUGAAAAUUGGAUGUCUGAGUAUGGUUAUUGGCUGGAUAUUCUGGCAAUAUCAUGCGAUUCAUUCAGGUUAUUAAAAAAUUCUGUUAAACUCAUAACUAAGAAGACAU